rnacentral:rRNA from 1 species
UGGGGAAUUUUGGGCAAUGGGCGAAAGCCUGACCCAGCAACGCCGCGUGGAGGAAGAAGGCCUUCGGGUUGUAAACUCCUGUCCCGAGGGACGAAGUAGGUGACGGUACCUUGGGAGGAAGCCCCGGCUAACUCCGUGCCAGCAGCCGCGGUAAUACGGGGGGGGUCGAGCGUUGUUCGGAAUUACUGGGCGUAAAGGGCGCGUAGGCGGUCUCGGAAGUUCUGGGUGAAAGUCCCCGGCUCAACCGGGGGAGGUCCCAGGAAACCACGGGGCUGGAGUGCUGGAGAGGGAAGUGGAAUUCCCGGUGGAGCGGUGAAAUGCGUAGAGAUCGGGAGGAACACCGGAGGCGAAGGCGGCUUCCUGGACAGACACUGACGCUGAGGCGCGAAAGCCAGGGGAG